rnacentral:piRNA from 1 species
UGGAGAAGACAGAUGAUGACCUGUGGU